AGAGUUUGAUCCUGGCUCAGAAUGAACGCUGGCGGCGCGCUUAACACAUGCAAGUCGAACGAGAAAGUUCUCUUCGGAGGAUGAGUAGAGUGGCGAACGGGUGAGUAACACGUGGAUAAUCUGACUUCGGGAACGGGAUAACCAAUCGAAAGGCUGGCUAAAACCGUAUGAAGUUUUGAUCAUAAGAUUGAAAAUGAAAAGGUGCCUCUGUUGCAUGCAUCUGCUUGAAGGUGAGUCCGCGUACCAUUAGCUUGCUGGUGGGGUAAGAGCCUACCAGGGCGACGAUGGUUAGCUGGUCUGAGAGGAUGAUCAGCCACACUGGAACUGAAACACGGUCCAGACUCCUACGGGAGGCAGCAGUGAGGGAUUUUGCGCAAUGGGGGAGACCCUGACGCAGCAACGCCGCGUGAGUGAAGAAGGCCCUUGGGUCGUAAAGCUCUGUCAACAGGGAAGAAGUUAUCAUGCAUGAAUAAUGUAUGGUAUUGACGAUACCUGUGGAGGAAGCACCGGCUAACUCCGUGCCAGCAGCCGCGGUAACACGGGGGGUGCAAGCGUUAUUCGGAAUUAUUGGGCGUAAAGUGCGCGCAGGCGGUCUUGCCGGUCAGGUGUGAAAGCCCGGGGCUCAACCCCGGAAGAGCAUUUGAAACAGCAAGACUUGAGUACAGGAGAGGAAAGCGGAAUUCCUGGUGUAGAGGUGAAAUUCGUAGAUAUCAGGAGGAACACUCAUGGCGAAGGCAGCUUUCUGGACUGAUACUGACGCUGAGGCGCGAAGGUGUGGGUAGCGAACAGGAUUAGAUACCCUGGUAGUCCACACAGUAAACGAUGUUCACUAGGUGUAGCGGGUAUUAAAACCUGCUGUGCCGGAGCUAACGCGUUAAGCAUCCCGCCUGGGAAGUACGGCCGCAAGGUUAAAACUCAAAGGAAUAGACGGGAACCCGCACAAGCGGUGGGCCAUGUGGUUUAAUUCGACGCUAAGCGAAAAACCUUACCAAGGCUUGACAUACUAGGCAUUAGAUUGUCUGAAAGGAUAAUUGAUUUCUCUUUGAGAAAACCUAGAACAGGUGCUGCAUGGUUGUCGUCAGCUCGUGUCGUGAGAUGUACCGUUAAGUCGGGAAACGAGCGAAACCCCUAUCCUUAGUUGCCAUCCUAAGUUUAUCUUAGGAGCACUCUAGGGAGACUGCCAGCGAUGAGCUGGAGGAAGGUGGGGAUGACGCCAAAUCAGCAUGGCCCUUAUGCCUUGGGCUACACACAUGGUACAAUGGCCAAUACAAAGGGUUGCCAAAUCGUAAGGUGGAGCCAAUCCCAUCAAAGUUGGUCUAAGUUCGGAUUAAGGGCUGAAAUUCGCCCUUAUGAAGUUGGAAUCGCUAGUAACCGUGUAUCAGCACGUCACGGUGAAUACGUUCUCGGGUUUUGUACUCACUGCCCGUCAAGCCAAGAGAGCCGGUGGUACCCGAAAGUUCGCGUUCGCGGAAAUAAGGUAAAAUUGGUGAUAAGGGCUAAGUCGUAACAAGGUAA
rnacentral:rRNA from 1 species